AGCGAACCUGCGAAGGCAAGCGGAUCUCUUAAAGCCGUUCUCAGUUCGGACUGUAGGCUGCAACUCGCCUACACGAAGCUGGAAUCGCUAGUAAUCGCGGAUCAGCACGCCGCGGUGAAUACGUUCCCGGGCCUUGUACACACCGCCCGUCACACCAUGGGAGCCGACAACGCCCGAAGUCAGUGACCUAACCGAGAGGGAGGAGCUGCCGAAGGCGGGGUUGGUAACUGGGGUGAAGUCGUAACAAGGUAGC
rnacentral:rRNA from 1 species